rnacentral:rRNA from 1 species
AUUGAACGCUGGCGGCAUGCUUUACACAUGCAAGUCGGACGGCAGCACAGAGAAGCUUGCUUCUUGGGUGGCGAGUGGCGAACGGGUGAGUAAUAUAUCGGAACGUACCGAGUAAUGGGGGAUAACUAAUCGAAAGAUUAGCUAAUACCGCAUAUUCUCUGAGGCGGAAAGCAGGGGACCUUCGGGCCUUGCGUUAUUCGAGCGGCCGAUAUCUGAUUAGCUAGUUGGUGGGGUAAAGGCCUACCAAGGCGACGAUCAGUAGCGGGUCUGAGAGGAUGAUCCGCCACACUGGGACUGAGACACGGCCCAGACUCCUACGGGAGGCAGCAGUGGGGAAUUUUGGACAAUGGGCGCAAGCCUGAUCCAGCCAUGCCGCGUGUCUGAAGAAGGCCUUCGGGUUGUAAAGGACUUUUGUCAGGGAAGAAAAGGCUGUUGCUAAUAUCAAGAGCUGAUGACGGUACCUGAAGAAUAAGCACCGGCUAACUACGUG